UGGGAUGAGACAGGUUGGAAUCCUUUGUGCUGCUGCUUUAGUUGCCAUACAAGAGAAUGUUAGAAAGCUUGAGGAUGAUCACAAAAAAGCCAAGACGCUCGCGGAGGGACUGAAUCAGAUUAAAGGACUAAGAGUGGAUGUCGCUGCCGUCGAAACCAACAUUGUAUAUUUGGAGAU